GACGAACGCUGGCGGCGUGCUUAACACAUGCAAGUCGAACGAAGAGCGACGGAAGCUUGCUUCUAUCAAUCUUAGUGGCGAACGGGUGAGUAACGCGUAAUCAACCUGCCCUUCAGAGGGGGACAACAGUUGGAAACGACUGCUAAUACCGCAUACGAUCUAAUCUCGGCAUCGAGGAUGGAUGAAAGGUGGCCUCUACAUGUAAGCUAUCACUGAAGGAGGGGAUUGCGUCUGAUUAGCUAGUUGGAGGGGUAACGGCCCAACAAGGCGAUGAUCAGUAGCCGGUCUGAGAGGAUGAACGGCCACAUUGGGACUGAGACACGGCCCAGACUCCUACGGGAGGCAGCAGUGGGGAAUCUUCCGCAAUGGACGAAAGUCUGACGGAGCAACGCCGCGUGAGUGAUGACGGCCUUCGGGUUGUAAAGCUCUGUUAAUCGGGACGAAAGGCCUUCUUGCGAAUAGUGGGAAGGAUUGACGGUACCGGAAUAGAAAGCCACGGCUAACUACGUG
rnacentral:rRNA from 1 species